GAUUAAUUAGUUUAAGUAGAAACAUAAAUUUUGUAAAUUUAAAGUCCUAAGAAUGAUGAAAAG
rnacentral:tRNA from 1 species